UCGAACGGAGCUUAGAGAGCUUGCUUUUUAAGCUUAGUGGCGAACGGGUGAGUAACGCGUGAGUAACCUGCCCUAGAGUGGGGGACAACAGUUGGAAACGACUGCUAAUACCGCAUAAGCCCACGGUACCGCAUGGUACUGAGGAAAAAGGAUUUAUUCGCUUUAGGAUGGACUCGCGUCCAAUUAGCUAGUUGGUGAGGUAACGGCCCACCAAGGCGACGAUUGGUAGCCGGACUGAGAGGUUGAACGGCCACAUUGGGACUGAGACACGGCCCAGACUCCUACGGGAGGCAGCAGUGGGGGAUAUUGCACAAUGGGGGAAACCCUGAUGCAGCGACGCCGCGUGGAGGAAGAAGGUUUUCGGAUUGUAAACUCCUGUCGUUAGGGACGAUAAUGACGGUACCUAACAAGAAAGCACCGGCUAACUACGUGCCAGCAGCCGCGGUAAAACGUAGGGUGCAAGCGUUGUCCGGAAUUACUGGGUGUAAAGGGAGCGCAGGCGGGAAGACAAGUUGGAAGUGAAAACCAUGGGCUCAACCCAUGAAUUGCUUUCAAAACUGUUUUUCUUGAGUAGUGCAGAGGUAGAUGGAAUUCCCGGUGUAGCGGUGGAAUGCGUAGAUAUCGGGAGGAACACCAGUGGCGAAGGCGGUCUACUGGGCACCAACUGACGCUGAGGCUCGAAAGCAUGGGUAGCAAACAGGAUUAGAUACCCUGGUAGUCCAUGCCGUAAACGAUGAUUACUAGGUGUUGGGGGAUUGACCCCCUCAGUGCCGCAGUUAACACAAUAAGUAAUCCACCUGGGGAGUACGACCGCAAGGUUGAAACUCAAAGGAAUUGACGGGGG
rnacentral:rRNA from 1 species